rnacentral:rRNA from 1 species
UACGUAGGGUGCGAGCGUUGUCCGGAUUUAUUGGGCGUAAAGAGCUUGUAGGCGGCUCGUCGCGUCGGGUGUGAAAACUUGCGGCUUAACCGCAAGCCUGCACCCGAUACGGGCGGGCUAGAGUUCGGCAGGGGAGACUGGAAUUCCUGGUGUAGCGGUGGAAUGCGCAGAUAUCAGGAGGAACACCAAUGGCGAAGGCAGCUCGCUGGGACGUGACUGACGCUGAGACGCGAAAGCGUGGGGAGCAAACAGG